rnacentral:rRNA from 1 species
ACAGAAGAAGCACCGGCUAACUCCGUGCCAGCAGCCGCGGUAAUACGGAGGGUGCGAGCGUUAAUCGGAAUUACUGGGCGUAAAGCGCAUGCAGGUGGUUUGUUAAGUCAGAUGUGAAAGCCCGGGGCUCAACCUCGGAAUUGCAUUUGAAACUGGCAGACUAGAGUACUGUAGAGGGGGGUAGAAUUUCAGGUGUAGCGGUGAAAUGCGUAGAGAUCUGAAGGAAUACCGGUGGCGAAGGCGGCCCCCUGGACAGAUACUGACACUCAGAUGCGAAAGCGUGGGGAGCAAACAGGAUUAGAUACCCUGGUAGUCCACGCUGUAAACGAUGUCUACUUGGAGGUUGUGGCCUAGAGCCGUGGCUUUCGGAGCUAACGCGUUAAGUAGACCGCCUGGGGAGUACGGUCGCAAGAUUAAAACUCAAAUGAAUUGACGGGGGCCCGCACAAGCGGUGGAGCAUGUGGUUUAAUUCGAUGCAACGCGAAGAACCUUACCUACUCUUGACAUCCAGAGAAUCCAGCGGAGACGCUGGAGUGCCUUCGGGAACU